UUUACAUAUGAGGAAACUGAGGCAUGGUGAAGUUAAAUGACUUUCUAUCAAAUAGCACUGAGAGUUGACACACUUCCAAAGCUGUCACAACUGGUCCGAUUCGUAAGGGAUUAAUUGGCCAUGGAUGCUUGUGGGCUGAAAUACUGUCACAGUGGCUGUAGAUCUGUCACUUUGAUACACAAGGAACAAAAUUAGAGUGAGGAACAUAUAGGACCAUUGGAAGAUUUUCAUCAUAUCCACAUUUAUUGCCGAAGAAAUCAGGCAGAGAACACUGUAACCAUUUUGACCUGAUUGCAGCAUGACAGGUUCAGGGAGAAGACCCUGUAAAGACACAGGAAGAAGACAACCAUUUACCAGCCAAGGAGAGAGACCCCUGAAGAAACCAACUUUUCCUAGACCUUAAUUUUGGACUUCCAGCCUC